UACAGAGGUCUCAAGCGUUGUUCGGAUUCAUUGGGCGUAAAGGGUGCGUAGGCGGUCGGGUAAGUCUGACGUGAAAUCUCCGAGCCUAACUCGGAAACUGCGUCGGAUACUAUUCGGCUAGAGGAAUGGAGGGGAGACUGGAAUUCUCGGUGUAGCAGUGAAAUGCGUAGAUAUCGAGAGGAACACCAGUGGCGAAGGCGAGUCUCUGGACAUUUCCUGACGGCUGAGGCAACGAAAGCCAGGGGAGGCAAACGGG
rnacentral:rRNA from 1 species